rnacentral:rRNA from 1 species
GACGAACGCUGGCGGCGUGCUUAACACAUGCAAGUCGAACGGAUCACGAUGAUUUCGGUUGUUGUGGUGAGUGGCGAACGGGUGAGUAACACGUGAGUAACCUGCCCCGAACUCUGGGAUAACGCUUCGAAAGGGGUGCUAAUACCGGAUAUUGAAUUCCUGCUGCUUGGUGGGGGUUUGAAAGAUUUUUGGUUCGGGAUGGGCUCGCGGCCUAUCAGCUUGUUGGUGGGGUGAUGGCCUACCAAGGCUUCGACGGGUAGCCGGCCUGAGAGGGCGACCGGCCACACUGGGACUGAGAUACGGCCCAGACUCCUACGGGAGGCAGCAGUGGGGAAUAUUGCACAAUGGGCGAAAGCCUGAUGCAGCAACGCCGCGUGCGGGAUGACGGCCUUCGGGUUGUAAACCGCUUUCAGCUCUGACGAAUUUGACGGUAGGAGCAGAAGAAGCACCGGCUAACUACGUG